rnacentral:rRNA from 1 species
AUGGAUGGCAUCAUGGAGUUCGCCAAGACGACGCCAAUAUCAACAUCAUCAACCCGGUGCCACAAGGAUCGUGAGGGGGAGCUCGCAAGGAGAACGCCCCACAUCUACUUCGUCAUGCUGGAGCUAGAGGACGGAGGCGUGGCGCCCGUUGGAGAUGUCGCCGAUGUCUACUUCGUCAAGCUGGAUCCCGGAGGCGUGGAGCUCGCAGGGAUGCCGCCGCGUGCCACAGAGGAUGGCGAGACGGAGCUCGCUAGGACGACGCCCGUGGUCUUCUUCACCAAGCUGGCGCCAUGGAGGACGGAUGCGCGGAGCUCAUGA